GGACGGCUUGCCGCUGGCGAAUCUCUUCGGGGAAGAGCGAGAGGAAAGUCCGGGCAACACAGGGCACUCCGCUACCUAACGGGUAGAAGUCCGCGAGGGUUUGCAUGUGCAGAAGAAAACAACCGCCACCGCAGUCUUUCAUGCUUAUGAUGCUGCGAGGGUAAGGGUGAGAAGGUGGGGUAAGAGCCCACCAGGCGUAUGGCGACAUACGUGCUGUGCACACCGGAGGUUGAAAGUUCGCGUAUACCGGCAACGCACCGACUACGUUCUUUCGAGGACGCAAGGGUGAGAGAGGGCGGCCCGUCCGAGCCGGAGGGUAGAACGAUAGAGGCGCAGUGAGAGCUGCGUCCUAGAUAAAUGGCAAGCACCCGCCUCGGCGGGCACAGAACCCGGCUUACAGGCCCACUGC
rnacentral:RNase_P_RNA from 1 species